rnacentral:vault_RNA from 1 species
GUGCCAGCCUAGUCUUGUGGUUCUGUACUUUGCUGAAAAUGGGUUUCAUAAUGUCCGAAUAACAUUACUUUGUGGGUUCGAUUCCCACUGUCACCACUGACGCCAUCUGGCACUUUU